GCCGAUGAUUUUUGAUCGACGAUUCUUUCUCCUCUUCAUUUUGGCUGGCAAUCUUUGACACCAGAAUCAUCAUUGUCGCUGCUUUUCCGUCUCUCCGCUAAUUUCAGAUUCCGAAAUUGGGGAACAGAAGAGGACUGGGAAUGGUGACAGAAUGUUCGUCCAGGCCACACAAAAAAUCGACGGCGGCUCAUUACAGGAAGACGAGGCUGAAGAAGACUCAGCCUUGGGAUAUUAAGAGAAAACCCACUGUUUAUGUUCCUCUUCCUCCUCUCCCGCCAGAUUGGGCUCCGCUCACUUCCUCCUCUCCCGCUGGAUCGUAUUCUGCUUGUUAUUAGGCAUUGAAAGUCAGGCUAAUCAGGCCAGCGGUACAAGUGAGGAAUGCACAAUGCUUUGUUGCAAAUGAUAAGUCUUGUUUCCUCUACCCCUUUGAUUUGAUCCAAUCCAUGCUCUCUGUUUAAAACUUGAUUGGGUUGACAAUUGUAGCUAAUCAUAAUUGUGUAUCUAAAACCACACGAAUGGUAAUGCAAAGUAGUGUUUUGAGAAACAAUUCUAGUAUCUAAGAAUUUGAGGAUGAAUUAUCUUAGCUAUAAUGGUAGUAGCUAAGGAACCUUUUGCUCUUCUCUGUUAGAUAGAGUACGAAGUUUUCAUUCAAGAUAUAUCGUUGAUGAGGGGUUUGCAAUCACGCCUUCCACUUUCACUGCAUCAGCAGGUGGCUAAAGACGUGUCAAGUUUGUCCAUUGGAUAACAGUGAGUGGGAGUUCCAGAAAUAUGGUCACUAAAUCAGCCAGUCGUUCGAGCAAAUAUGUGUCUAAUCGAGGAUAGCAGUUUCUGCACAUGAUACCAAGAUUGAUCAAGUUCUUUUUUUUUUUCUUUUUUUCUUUUCUUUUGUAAUGUGUUCACAAGAGAUUUACAUACUCACUGAACCUUUUAUCUUUAUGCGUUGGGUGAUGUCUUUGAUUUCAAA